rnacentral:rRNA from 1 species
AUUGAACGCUGGCGGCAGGCCUAACACAUGCAAGUCGAACGGUAACAGGAAGCAGCUUGCUGCUUUGCUGCCGAGUGGCGGCCGGGUGAGUAAUGUCUGGGAAACUGCCCGAUGGAGGGGGAUAACUACUGGAAACGGUAGCUAAUACCGCAUAACGUCGCAAGACCAAAGAGGGGGACCUUAGGGCCUCUUGCCAUCGGAUGUGCCCAGAUGGGAUUAGCUAGUAGGUGGGGUAACGGCUCACCUAGGCGACGAUCCCUAGCUGGUCUGAGAGGAUGACCAGCCACACUGGAACUGAGACACGGUCCAGACUCCUACGGGAGGCAGCAGUGGGGAAUAUUGCACAAUGGGCGCAAGCCUGAUGCAGCCACGCCGCGUGUAUGAAGAAAGCCUUCGGGUUGUAAAGUACUAUCAGCGGGGAGGAAGGGAGUAAAGUUAAUACCUUUGCACAUUGACGUUACCCGCAGAAGAAGCACCGGCUAACUCCGUG